UACAGAGGUCCCAAGCGUUGUUCGGAUUUACUGGGCGUAAAGGGUGCGUAGGCGGUGGGGUAAGUUUGAGGUGAAAGCUCCGGGCUCAACCCGGAAAAUGCCUUGAAUACUAUCCGGCUAGAGGGUUGGAGGGGAGACUGGAAUUCUCGGUGUAGCAGUGAAAUGCGUAGAUCUCGAGAGGAACACCAGUGGCGAAGGCGGGUCUCUGGACAACACCUGACGCUGAGGCACGAAAGCCAGGGGAGCAAACGGG
rnacentral:rRNA from 1 species